rnacentral:rRNA from 1 species
AACGCUGGCGGCAGGCCUAACACAUGCAAGUCGAGCGGCAGCGGGAAAGUAGCUUGCUACUUUUGCCGGCGAGCGGCGGACGGGUGAGUAAUGCCUGGGAAAUUGCCCAGUCGAGGGGGAUAACAGUUGGAAACGACUGCUAAUACCGCAUACGCCCUACGGGGGAAAGCAGGGGACCUUCGGGCCUUGCGCGAUUGGAUAUGCCCAGGUGGGAUUAGCUAGUAGGUGGGGUAACGGCUCACCUAGGCGACGAUCCCUAGCUGGUCUGAGAGGAUGACCAGCCACACUGGAACUGAGACACGGUCCAGACUCCUACGGGAGGCUGCAGUGGGGAAUAUUGCACAAUGGGCGCAAGCCUGAUGCAGCCAUGCCGCGUGUGUGAAGAAGGCCUUCGGGUUGUAAAGCACUUUCAGCGAGGAGGAAGGUGGUGAGCUUAAUACGCUCAUCAAUUGACGUUACUCGCAGAAGAAGCACCGGCUAACUCCGUGCCAGCAGCCGCGGUAAUACGGAGGGUGCAAGCGUUAAUCGGAAUUACUGGGCGUAAAGCGCACGCAGGCGGUUUGUUAAGUCAGAUGUGAAAUCCCCGGGCUCAACCUGGGAACUGCAUUCGAAACUGGCAGGCUAGAGUCUUGUAGAGGGGGGUAGAAUUCCAGGUGUAGCGGUGAAAUGCGUAGAGAUCUGGAGGAAUACCGGUGGCGAAGGCGGCCCCCUGGACAAAGACUGACGCUCAGGUGCGAAAGCGUGGGGAGCAAACAGGAUUAGAUACCCCGGUAGUCCUGGCCGUAAACGAUGGGUACUAGGUGUAGGAGGUAUCGACCCCUUCUGUGCCGGAGUUAACGCAAUAAGUACCCCGCCUGGGGAGUACGACCGCAAGGUUGAAACUCAAAGGAAUUGACGGGGGCCCGCACAAGCAGCGGAGCAUGUGGUUUAAUUCGAAGCAACGCGAAGAACCUUACCUAGACUUGACAUCUCCUGCAUUACCCUUAAUCGGGGAAGUUCCUUCGGGGACAGGAAGACAGGUGGUGCAUGGUUGUCGUCAGCUCGUGUUGUGAGAUGUUGGGUUAAGUCCCGCAACGAGCGCAACCCUUAUUGUUAGUUGCUACCAUUAAGUUGAGCACUCUAGCAAGACUGCCCGGGUUAACCGGGAGGAAGGUGGGGAUGACGUCAAAUCAUCAUGCCCCUUAUGUCUAGGGCUACACACGUGCUACAAUGGCAAGUACAAAAAGAUGCAAUACCGCAAGGUGGAGCUAAACUUAAAAACUUGUCUCAGUUCGGAUUGUAGGCUGAAACUCGCCUACAUGAAGCUGGAGUUGCUAGUAAUCGCGAAUCAGAAUGUCGCGGUGAAUACGUUCCCGGGCCUUGUACACACCGCCCGUCACACCAUGAGAGUUGGCAAUACCCAAAGU